UGGGGAAUAUUGGACAAUGGGCGAAAGCCUGAUCCAGCCAUGCCGCGUGUGUGAAGAAGGUCUUCGGAUUGUAAAGCACUUUAAGUUGGGAGGAAGGGCAGUAAGCGAAUACCUUGCUGUUUUGACGUUACCGACAGAAUAAGCACCGGCUAACUCUGUGCCAGCAGCCGCGGUAAUACAGAGGGUGCAAGCGUUAAUCGGAAUUACUGGGCGUAAAGCGCGCGUAGGUGGUUCGUUAAGUUGAAUGUGAAAGCCCCGGGCUCAACCUGGGAACUGCAUCCAAAACUGGCGAGCUAGAGUAGGGCAGAGGGUGGUGGAAUUGCCUGUGUAGCGGUGAAAUGCGUAGAGAUAGGAAGGAACACCAGUGGCGAAGGCGACCACCUGGGCUCAUACUGACACUGAGGUGCGAAAGCGUGGGGAGCAAACAGG
rnacentral:rRNA from 1 species